UACGAACUGUGCGAACGUUAUUCGGAAUCACUGGGCUUACAGGGUGCGUAGGUGGCCGGACAAGUCAGGUGUGAAAUCCCUCGGCUUAACCGAGGAACUGCCUCCCAAACUGCUUGGCUUGAGACCAGGAGAGGUGAGUGGAAUUCCCAGUGUAGCGGUGAAAUGCGUAGAUAUUGGGAGGAACACCAGUGGCGAAGGCGGCUCACUGGACUGGUACUGACGCUGAGGCGCGAAAGCGUGGGGAGCAAACGGG
rnacentral:rRNA from 1 species